ensembl:lncRNA
GUCUGAGCCACCAGGGAAGCUUGUGUUUUAUUACAGAUGCACGAUAAAUAGGGCAGGUUUAGAAAGCUCUCUCUAGGGAAUGGUAGAUGAUGGACUGGAGUUGGGUACGAAAGGCAGUUGGACCAGUGAGUGGAGUUUGCAGCAGAGCAGGUACAAGAUCUGCAUUUGGUCGUUGAUCCCAGAAAUGAAGUGGGGCGGUGGGGGAUGUUUCCAAAGCAGGAUGCCCUUUGUCCCUUAAGCAACAGGACCCUGUUGUCUCUAAACUUCAGGACAGAAAUGACUCUAGGGAGCUCCCCCAUGCCUCCCUCUGGGUUACAGACACCUCUGCUGGCGCCCUCUCUCGUCCCCGUCGCCAGCCCCCGCCUCCUUUCUCAGGAAGCUUGGGUCUCCCUGGGAGCGGGUCUGCCCUUGGGGGAGGCCUGUCGACUCGGCGCCCUGCAGCCCGACGGACAUUCGGGGCGGAUCGAAGAGGGGCUCGGCGCCCCCUGCGUGCACAUGUGCUAGCCCGGGCAGGAGGGAGCGCCUCCGCGGAGGAGUCCAGGAAGAGGGGGCAGGGAGAGGCGCUCCAGAACCUCGGUCCCGGGCGCCCUGGUCGGCCGCGGUGGAGCUGCAGCUUCCAACAGGAGGAAGCUGAGGCUCAGAGAAAUGGAAUGGAUUUCCCCAAAGCCAGAACUCAAAGCCAGAUCUGACCGACCGUAAAUCCCAACCAUUGACACCAGUCAGAAAUCACAAUGAAGCCAGAAAGCAGUGUGGUCAGUGGUACCGCAGCAUCAUUGCCUGAACUGGUGACUAAGACGGACGACUGCUGUCAAGAGCAGGAAGUCUGUGGGUCUCUGGCAUGCUACCUGCUCUGCCUGGUAACUGAAGGCUCCUGCAUCUCAGCUAAGCCAGGAAGCAAAGGUGGACCUGUCAGCCUUGGUUCCUCUUCCAGGUGGCCCCCAAGCUUGGAUCACACCCAGCAUCCCUUCAUCCAUCCACCUCGCCUCUUCCUCACCACCCACUACCAGUAAUCCAACGUGCAUAGUUGUAAACUUGUUUCUUUAAAUAAACAGUCUUGAGUUUCAUACCAAAUAGUCUUUUAAGAGGAGGAACGUCUCCAGGCCACCUCGUAUUUAGCAUACACUGAGCCACAUAUUUGCACAGAGAGAGUGUGUGUGGAUAUAGAGAUCGCUUGAUCGCUAUAGAUAUCAUUGCUCAUCCAGAUGGGAGCUAUUUAUGAUGCUGAGUCACUCGCAGAGAAUGCCACUGAGGGAUUCCAGGCUGGGCUCUGAGCCCCAGCAUCACAGACCUCGUGGCUCUUUGCCUCAUCCUCACUUUUCACAAAUGAGAGACAGAGACAGAGUGGUCUCUCCCACCACAGCUCAGGGACAGAAAGAGACGUGUUGGCCACAAUAUAUUGCAGACUGUCUCAUAACCAAGCCCUAUUCCAAAUCCUUGUCCCCCAUCCAGGACACCACAGCCCUUCAUCUCAUCCAACUUCUUCAUUGUAUAGGAGCAGAAACUGGGAGCCAGAGAGGGAAGGGGCUCGCCCAGAGUCACACAGAAAGUUGGUAGUGCAGCUGGUCCCAGAGCUCAGAUUUUCUGAUUGCUGUCUGGCACUCCCUUCCAUCCCCC